GAUGAACGCUGGCGGCGUGCCUAACACAUGCAAGUCGAGCGAUUCUCUUCGGAGAAGAGCGGCGGACGGGUGAGUAACGCGUGGGUAACCUGCCCUGUACACACGGAUAACAUACCGAAAGGUAUGCUAAUACGGGAUAACAUAAGAAAUUCGCAUGUUUUUCUUAUCAAAGCUCCGGCGGUACAGGAUGGACCCGCGUCUGAUUAGCUAGUUGGUGAGGUAAUGGCUCACCAAGGCGACGAUCAGUAGCCGACCUGAGAGGGUGAUCGGCCACAUUGGAACUGAGACACGGUCCAAACUCCUACGGGAGGCAGCAGUGGGGAAUAUUGCACAAUGGGCGAAAGCCUGAUGCAGCAACGCCGCGUGAGCGAUGAAGGCCUUCGGGUCGUAAAGCUCUGUCCUCAAGGAAGAUAAUGACGGUAC
rnacentral:rRNA from 1 species